UACGUAGGGUGCAAGCGUUGUCCGGAAUUAUUGGGCGUAAAGAGCUCGUAGGCGGUUUGUUGCGUCGGCUGUGAAAACCCGGGGCUCAACCCCGGGCCUGCAGCCGAUACGGGCAGACUAGAGUUCGGCAGGGGAGACUGGAAUUCCUGGUGUAGCGGUGAAAUGCGCAGAUAUCAGGAGGAACACCGGUGGCGAAGGCGGGUCUCUGGGCCGAUACUGACGCUGAGGAGCGAAAGCGUGGGGAGCGAACAGG
rnacentral:rRNA from 1 species